rnacentral:misc_RNA from 1 species
ACUCAAGAGCACCAUUCACCACCCUGAACCAGCAAAGAGGAAGAGAACACUACAAUGAGCCUCAUUCUCGGACAAAGUAAGGCAGAACAAUAAAAAAAGGCAUGCCAGAAAGCUAAUCUUGAAUUCAUGAUCACUUGCCCAAAAAUAUAGAACCAAAUUGACAAGAACACAAAAAUACUGGAAUUGACAAGUGCAGAACAAAGCAAAGAAAGGUACUAAUCCCAAUUUAGACUUAAGACAUACGCAAGAUGAUA